rnacentral:tRNA from 1 species
UCGUGCUGGCGGGGCAGCCGAACGUCGGCAAGUCGUCGUUGCUGAAUGCGCUGGCCGGCGCGGAGCUGGCGAUCGUCACGCCGAUCGCGGGC